rnacentral:sRNA from 1 species
UUCCAAACUACUUCAUGUACCGACGUG